UCAUGCUCUAUAUAUACACCUACCAAGUACAUGUCUUCUGAGAACUCGUAAUAGAGAAGUGGGUACAUAGAAAUGGGUCAUAACAGGUCGCUUCUUGCAGCCAUAGUGCUCGUUCUGGUAGUUUCCUCCGCGCUCGGUGGCGAAGCAACCAGGGUUCUCAAUCCAACUCAUAAGACAGGAGAAAACCCAGGAAGGAACUUGGAGUCGCGGGCGACCCCCGACAGCUAUCCUUGGGCGGAAGGUCCUGUCGGAUACAGGGUCAGCGGCGCCGAUGAUGAUGGCUAGCUCCUCGUAGCAACAACCUCUGAUCAAUUGCUAUGUAAUAGAUACUAAAAAGAGAUACAUCACACAAUAAAUGUUCUACUUGCCAGUA